GGUGGAACUUACACAUGAGUCUUUUAGCUAACUGAAGGUUUUCUCUGAAACUGUUGCUGUACUGCCACGUUUUUGUCUGUUACCAUACCAGAGCAAACAGUAUAAUGGUAUGUGGCCACCUGGAACUAAAGAGUUCAAGAGUGACAAUAAG
rnacentral:lncRNA from 1 species